rnacentral:tRNA from 1 species
UCCCUGGUGGCCAGUGGUUAAGACUCUGUGCUCCCAAUGCAGGGGGCCCGGGUUCAAUCCCUGGUCAGGGAG